rnacentral:misc_RNA from 1 species
GAUGAAGAACGUAGCGAAAUGCGAUAACUAAUGUGAAUUGCAGAAUUCAGUGAAUCAUCGAGUCUUUGAACGCACAUUGCGCCCCCUGGUAUUCCGGGGGGCAUGCCUGUCCGAGCGUCAUUGCUGCCCUCAAGCACGGCUUGUGUGUAGGGCUCCGUCCCCCCGGGGACGGGCCCGAAAGGCAGCGGCGGCACCGAGUCCGGUCCUCGAGCGUAUGGGGCUUUGUCACCCGCUCUGUAGGCCCGGCCGGCGCCAGCCGACAACCCAUCAUCCUUUUCAGGUUGACCUCGGAUCAGGUAGGGAUACCCGCUGAACUUAAGCAUAUCAAUAAGCGGAGGA